CUGUCUAGGUCUAUUAUUUGACCUUAAACCAAUCAUUUAAGAUUUUAAUAAUUUUCUAAUUUCUCGGGUUGUCACAUUCACCCCUUCUUCUAAGAAUUUCGUCCUCGAAAUUAAAGCAUCCUAACCUCUGCUCAUUCUCUUGAUCAAAACUAGGUUUUCAAUUUAACCUUUACAAUUUCCUCAUUCGAGGAUUUCUCAUCUAUUAUCACAUUUCACCAUAACUACUCACUAGGAGUUUACAUCUUCUAAACAUUCAUCAAAACUAGGUUGUCAUAAUAACCUUUAUUUAAUCAUCUCAGAUUCUACUCGUACGCAACGAGUUUACACUAUUUCAUAUCCAUCAUCACAUUCUACCACAACAUUACUUUGAAGAGUUAAAAAAAAACUUUUCAUAUCUGUCUAAGGGAUCAUAAAAUUUAUGAACUUUGAACUCCGAGGUUUAGGGGUAUUUCUACCUGCUACCUCUUUCAAUUAAGAAAGAAAGGUACUCUACCUCUUAAACAUUUCUUUAACAGGUAUGUUUACAAUCACGAAGAAGGUAAACUACCGAUUCUGGUACUUUAGAUGAUCAGUCUAUUGUACCUUAGUAAUCCGAACGACUAUAUGCGUCCUUAAAUUGGAAUAUUCUAUCCAAUUAGUAUAUCCCCAUUUUCAGGGUUGUUCACCUCAGACUUAGUAUAGGAUUCCGCACCAAAACAAUUUGGUUCGGGAAAUUUCUUUCAAUGAACACUUAGAGUUUUCAUAAACAUUAGUCUAGCUGAAUCGAAUAGCAUAGACUCAUAUCGAUAAUUCAGUUCAAUAGAAUUAUUUAAGUAUAGCCAAACCCCGUUGGCAAAUUAAAAUUUUGAAAACAUUUUUCGAGAAUGACGUCAUGAUGCCGCACUGUAUUUACAGUCCGUUGAGGAUUCCGUCAUUUGGUGAUUUUAUCAUACUACAUCAUACCAUAGUGGGUUGACGAUCCUGAGAUCACAUCCAACACUAAGUAAUACUGCAUUGAUGACUCCAUCAUUUUUUUAUCAUCUCUGCACCAGGUUGCAUGGUACAUAAGUGAUAAAUAAAAACAACUUUUGAUACUUCAAAUCUUUCGCGUCUAGCCGAAAUAAGUAGCAUAGACUGUACUUUAAACCGUUUCAAAAAUGAUUACGAGUCUAUAUUUUUGUUUUCAAAAGGCACAUAGUGCGUAUUUAGCUUGAUGUCAAAAAUUCGAAGUCUAGCAUAGCUAGAAGAUUUGGAAUACCUAUGCUUCCAUCAUCAACUUCACUUUUUCUACUGAUCCAUUACUUAAUAGAUCUAUCUAUUCUUAUAAUCCUCAAUACUUCUUUCACACAUAACUAUACCCAGUUCGUCAAACUUACCACACUUAUGAGUUCAGGAACUUACCACAAUCAUAUGAGUUUAAGAACUUUCCUAGACAGACCUUUGGCGUCCAUUCGCUGAGGGGUCCAUAAACAUUUCAUAUAAUCAUGAGUCACGAACGUACCAUAAGUAUGAGUUUUAAGAACUCGUACUUAACCUUAUAUCCUCUAUCUAUGACCUAUCUACCUGUUAUACACAUGAGAAAGGAAUCACCCUCUGAACAUGCAUAUAGCAAAUAGCGCGACAUAAACAUUUCAAUGAUUAUCAGUGCCAGAAACUAAGUGGUUUUUACACCAAGUACAAUUCAGCUCCCAUACGAAGAAUCAUACAACUCAGCUGCCGACAUGAGUCCUCAAUUGAAUCCCCACCUAACACUAACCCCUUCUCCAUACGAAUUUAAUUCGUAUUUAUAAUUCUCUUCUGGAUCUGUACCAAUUUAUAGUACAAUUCAUACACAGCAAUCUUGCUGUAAACUUUUCAUCAUUCUCUGGAUCUUUCUUCAUACCAUAACCUUAUCAGAUCACGGAGUGAUCUCAUCGUAUAUAUUACGAUUCAUUGCUAUUCUGUGAUCGUUUUGUUUUACGAUCUCCCAUCCUUACACUUGUAAUCUCUUAGACUCUAUCUAUCCACUUCCUAUACUUGGUACACAUCGAGUCUCUAACAGUUUUCAAUAUGGUACGCUGAGUGGUUUCCCACAAACAACCAACAAACUAGGUUCCGAGUUGCUAGUUCGUAUAUACCUCCGCUCUAUGAAGGAAUCGUUUAGCCCAGAUACCAUACAUCAACUAGUAUCGAGUACAAUGGUACCAUACUUAAACCUAACUUUUUGACCCUGCGAGAUUUUUCAACUAACUCUAUGUGAGUUAGUACUUAUCCUAAUCACUGCGGUUAUUGGUCUAAGGUAUUGCUACCUAAGCUGCAUAACCAACAACUUUGAUACCAAC
rnacentral:lncRNA from 1 species